ACGACCUUACUUGAACAGGAUCUGUUCUACAGUCUCAUCUACUGUAUCCUUGAGUUUGAAGGAGACAGUCAACAUUGUUCUAAUAAACGAGCUGGGUGGAUG
rnacentral:snoRNA from 1 species